rnacentral:rRNA from 1 species
UACAGAGGGUGCGAGCGUUAAUCGGAAUUACUGGGCGUAAAGCGCGCGUAGGCGGUUUUACAAGUCGGGUGUGAAAUCCCCAGGCUUAACCUGGGAACUGCACUCGAGACUGUAUUACUAGAGUAUGGGAGAGGGAAGUGGAAUUUCCGGUGUAGCGGUGAAAUGCGUAGAUAUCGGAAGGAACAUCAGUGGCGAAAGCGACUUCCUGGACCAAUACUGACGCUCAUGUGCGAAAGCGUGGGGAGCAAACAGG